UACGUAGGGGGCUAGCGUUGUCCGGAAUCAUUGGGCGUAAAGCGCGUGUAGGCGGUCCGGUAAGUCCGCUGUGAAAGUCGAGGGCUCAACCCUCGAAUGCCGGUGGAUACUGUCGGGCUAGAGUGCGGAAGAGGCGAGUGGAAUUCCUGGUGUAGCGGUGAAAUGCGCAGAUAUCGUAAGGAAGACCAGUGGCGAAGGCGGGUCUCUGGACAGUUCCUGACGCUGAGGCACGAAGGCCAGGGGAGCAAACGGG
rnacentral:rRNA from 1 species